UAUAGAGGUGGCAAGCGUUGUUCGGAAUUAGUCUGGGCGUAAAGGGCGCGUAGGCGGCCAUCUAAGUCAGACGUGAAAUCCCCCCGGCUUAACCUGGGAACUGCGUCUGAUACUGGACGGCUUGAGUAUGGGAGAGGGAUGUAGAAUUCCAGGUGUAGCGGUGAAAUGCGUAGAUAUCUGGAGGAACACCCGUGGCGAAGGCGGUUCUCUGGGACGGUACUGACGCUGAGACGCGAAAGCGUGGGGAGCGAACAGG
rnacentral:rRNA from 1 species